rnacentral:lncRNA from 1 species
GUUUUAUUUAUAAUAAAUAUAUAUUUGUAUUCGGUAUAUAUGUACACAGUUAUAACAAUCAUAUUCCUUCAAACUAAUCUGGAAUAAACUUCCAAGUUCGCCGUUUCGUAUAUGUCGAAUGUAACACAAUCAAACCAAUUUUCAGUUUAUUUCACUUUUACCUACAUUAUACAACCAUCACGAACACUAAUACUCCCAUCUCGAAUAUGGGCCGAUUUAAAGUAUUUUUGUACACGAGCGUUUCCCACAAUUAUACAUAAAUCGUCGGCAUCUUCUUUCGACACUGUUUACUUUAAUAACAUAAUGUUUUGUCGUUAUAAUCACUAAUUAAGUCUUAUUCGGAUAACGUUCUUUGUCAAAAUGUUUAUUUUUAUCUGUACAAUAGUACUAGGUUGUUAUUCACGGUGGGUAUGGUUGUCCUGCGAGAGAACGUUCUGUGCUGGUGAUUCGGUCCUGACGGGUGCUGGUGAUCAAUGAAAAAAUGUAAACAAAGACGAAAAUGAUGAUUUUUGACGUUUUCACUCAUAAAAAAUGGAAGAAAACAGUUGAGAUUUUUCAAUUUUGUUUCUUAUGGGUUCAUAUGUAAACCAUUAAAAAGUUGACCCUCUAAACUGUUU